ensembl:rRNA
GUCCAUUGAUAGACUCAUGAGCAUUCCUGAUCUCCUAAUGAACUCAGAAGUUAAGUGGCGUGAGCUUUGGUUAGUAGUUGGAUGAAAGAGUAUUAGAUCAUUAGAUCACAGCCGUUUUAUACAAUAGCUAGU